rnacentral:misc_RNA from 1 species
UAUUUAAAGAAUCUCUUCCUUUCUUCGUUCUCUUGAUGCCAUCGCCAUGUUUUAAAUUUUUUUCCUUCUGCUGUGCCAAGUCCAGCUCUAUUAAAAGACUAAAGAGACGGAGAAAUUAAUGGCAGAAGGGUUGGGUUCAAAACUCUAGAGUUUUGCAGAAGGGUCUGAAGUGGUAAGUGGUAGCUCUUCCACUCCAAUUUUGGGCGGAUGGGCAUUUUCAUUUUUUGUUUUGUGCUUGUGGGCCACA